CCCUUAGAUGUUCUGGGCCGCACGCGCGCUACACUGAUGCAUUCAACAAGCCUAGCCUUGACCGAGAGGUCCGGGUAAUCUUUGAAACUGCAUCGUGAUGGGGCUAGAUUAUUGCAAUUAUUAAUCUUCAACGAGGAAUGCCUAGUAAGCGUGAUUCAUCAAAUCGCGUUGAUUACGUCCCUGCCCUUUGUACACACCGCCCGUCGCUCCUACUGAUUGAAUGUGUUGGUGAGGAGCUCGGAUUGGCAGCAGUUGGUGGUUCGCCACCGGCUAUUGCUGAGAAGUCCUCCAAACCGCCCCAUUUAGAGGAAGGAGAAGUCGUAACA
rnacentral:rRNA from 1 species